rnacentral:misc_RNA from 1 species
CACCGGCACCCCCUUCGACGCAGAGUCACGCACACACACACACACAUGUUCUCUUGUGCCUUGCUGGCACCGGCACUUCAAAACCCACUCAGCCUCCUGUAAUCGCAUAGAGGAAGAAGGAAAGAGCCAGCCUUGUCCUCGCAGUGCAUCGCACACAACACACAUUGAGAGAGGGAGGCAAGAAAGGAGACAUCCGUGUUGGGUUUUCAGUGAUUCUCGGAACGCGUCUCUCUAGGUCUGUCACCUUAUCUGGGAUUCUGUUCUCUUGUUGUCUCGCCGCUUUUUAUUCUAUUCAUCGUGUUGCUGGCCUUUGCGCACCAUCACGGCUCUCACGUUAUCUUUGCCAUCUCUCUCUCGCUUCCUGCAGCUGUUUUUCCCUUCCCGAUAACACCACAUAAGCGGGCCUGUCGCGAACCCGCGUCUCAACGGACGAUACGGUAAGAACAGUAUUCCACUGCGGCCAAGAGGAGUAUUGCAAAGAUGGGGUACGAUUCGUGUGCCACGUGCUGCGCAAUCUUCUCGCUGCUGGGCAUCGUACACCUCGUGCUGUUCGGUCGCAUGUUCAGUGAGAAGGCCAUCUCGUUUGCUAUUAUGGCUGUAGAGCACGGCUGGGACGGAGAAACGAAGGCGAAGGCGUGCUACAACGGUGCCAUCAUCUACACGGUGACGCUCUUCUUGUCCGUCCUAGCCCGCGUGUACUUCCGCCGUAAUGACGCCGCCAAGGCAGCGCUGCUUCACGCCCAGCAUAUUGAGGAAAUUCAGGGGCUCCUCGUGCCGCCCACCAUGUCGACAGGCUCCAGCCAGCACUGAAGAGGAUAAGCGGUGACCGCGCUGAAAGUGAGGAGAUGCAGACGGUGAAACGAACAGAAAACGAAAAAGGGCUGCAAAGUCAACGUCCACGCGUGUGCGCAUGCGCCUAUUUAGAGUGCACUACGACCAACAGUGCACCAAGGGGGGGGGCGGGCGGAGUGACGCCUAGCGCCCUGACCCCCUGACUCCCCCUCCCGCCUUCUCAGUGGAAGCGAGAAAAGACGCACGCCCACGUUCACUAGCGCACCUGUAGCUCGAUUUCUCUCUCUGAUGUUCUCUUCUAAAUCGCGUAAAGACGAAGUGUGGUGGUAGUGGAGGGACAAGUGUGUCCAUACAUGUGCGUGCGCGUGUACAUGUGUGUACGUGCUUGCGUGCUGGAGCGGCAGCGGGACUAGCUUGAGGCGAAAGAAGCGGUACAGCUCAUCGGAUGUUGCGCCCGUGCGCGAUCCGCUGUGCGCGACCCUCUCUUUUUCUCUUCCCGUUUCUCUCUCUGCGGCCCCCCUCCACUCCAUCCCCUCGCCUCCGUUCGUAUCCGCUGGCCAGGAGGUCCUGUGCGCUGUGGAGGUGAUGCGUUCGCUCGGCUCCGUUUCUCUUCUUGGCCCCCCUCUCCCUCCCUCCCUCCCUCCCCCCUCUUACGAACGCGCCGUUCUUUGUUUGCCUUGCCGCUGCUAGUCUUUUUCCUCCUUUUGAUAUCGUCUCUCGCGUGGAGAGGAGGUGGCGGCGGUUUUGCUCUGGGAGGCCGGCGGUGAGGGGGAGGAGGGGCUGUGUACACUUGUGUGCGUGUGUGCGCGGUUCUCUCUUGCUGCCAGUGUGCUUGCGUGUCUUCGUUCCACCCUCUUUCUGUUUCUCCUUCUUUCUUCAGCUCUUGUGUUUUGCUGCCGUGAUGGACGGGCGUAUGUGUGUGUGUGCCUUUACGUGUCGACAUGAGGUAGUGCUUAACUUAUGGCGUCUGCCCUAUUCUUUUCUCUCGCCAGCCCUCGAUGGCAUUGUGUUCGAUGCGGGGGGAUGAGAAGAAGGGGGGGGGGCAGAUAGUAUGCUUGACAACAGCGGCAGGGGUGGCGGGGCACGCCUGCAGAUGUCUGUAUGUGUUGGUCUUUUGUCUAGCGUUGCUGCAGAAGUACGCUGUGUACGCUUGUCGGUGCGAGUCUGCGUGUGAGAGAGAGGGCGAAAAAAAAAAAAGAAGGGUGCGAGCGAGAUAAAGUAAGCAUUUUUGUGUAGCGCUGUUGAUGUGAUGGCGGAGACUUGCGCAUCUCUUUCCAGAUUGUGUGAGUGCCCGUGCGCGUGCUGAUGACUCCCUGGACAUGCGAUCACCCUGCUCCACUCCCCUCUUGCGUGCGUGCGUUUUCUGUUGUCGUUUUGCAUGUUCGUCCUCCUCCUUGUGCGUUGUAGAGCCGACCAACAGCAAGAAGAACAGCGCACCAAGAGGCGCAUGCACACGAGAGUGUAUAUACGCGUGUGUGGAAGGUGUGGGUGGGUGGGUGACAACAGCCCUGCAUAAAAAAAAAAAAAGAUGGCGACAAGCAUGAAGCUGCGCAGAGACUCAGGGGAGGAGGCGUCACUCGUAGAAGACCCUUUCUAGUGAUUGUCUUCAGUCGAGAUCCAGGCAUAGACACACCGUGAACCCAGUGCUGUUCGAGAAAGAGGGAAGAAAGCCAACUACCACACGUUUGCGCGGGGGAAAAGACUGAAGGGUGGCGGCACAGCCGCAAAGCUGCUUCGCUUUACCUUCAGCCGCCGCGCACUUCUCUGUUCUCUUUUUCUGCGGAAGACGGCCCACGAAGCGCAAGGGCUCGCGCUGGGCAGAUGUCGCACCCCGCUAGCUUCAUGCGUGGACUGCGCAUGCUUACGUGUUCGUAUCUGUUUAUGUGUGUGUGUGUGUGCGUGUGUGUGUGUGCGUCGAG